GGAGGAAGGUGGGGAUGACGUCAAGUCCUCAUGGCCCUUACGGGCUGGGCUACACACGUGCUACAAUGGCGGUGACAGUGGGCAGCGACCUCGCGAGGGGUAGCUAAUCUCUAAAAGCCGUCUCAGUUCGGAUUGUUCUCUGCAACUCGAGAGCAUGAAGUUGGAAUCGCUAGUAAUCGCGUAACAGCAUGACGCGGUGAAUACGUUCCCGGGCCUUGUACACACCGCCCGU
rnacentral:rRNA from 1 species